AUGGGCCUCGCUCCUGGCCCACCACCAUUGGUCCCGGUUGGUGGCUUGAACCGGGACCACAGGCGAUUCAUGCCACACUAUAAUGUUUGGACGAGGCACGGAGAAAUAGGGUUUAUGAUGGCAGACAGCGAAGAAGAAGAGGACGAUGACAACUAUGUGCCCCCUGAAUACGGUGAUGCUGCAACGGGGGAAGCUGCUGAAGAUCAAGAGGAACCAGACGAUGUUCCCAAUGAUGCUGCAACGGGGGAAGCUGCUGAAGAUCAAGAGGAACCAGUGCCCGAUGAUGAUGAUCUCCGCCGGGUCAUUGUAGAUGCAAGGAUGCAAUGCGAAAGUCAAAAGGAGAAGCUGAAGUUCGAUCGCAUGUUAGAGGAUCACAAAAAAGGGUUGUGCCCCAAUUGCGAAGAUGGCAACACAAAGCUCGGUACCGUACUGGAAUUGCGGCAGUGGAAGGCAGAGAAUUGUUGGGGAACGUAG
rnacentral:rRNA from 1 species